AUGGCGGAUAUCCCGUUAGGCUGUUACACUAUAAAGUCCCAUGGAGCCCAAAUUGCAAGACUCCACAUGUAUGACUGGAUAAUACUUGUCCUCCUUGCUGUCAUAGAUGGAUUGUUGAAUAUAAUUGAGCCUUUUCACCGUUUCGUUGGGAAGGACAUGAUGACUGACUUGAGAUACCCCUUACAGGGCAAUACUGUGCCCUUUUGGGCUGUUCCGGUCAUUGGAAUCGUCUUACCCUGUGCCAUCUUUGGUGGAAUUUACUUCAAGAAGAAGAAUUUCUAUGAUUUGCACCAUGGCAUACUGGGUAUUCUUUAUUCGGUGCUCAUAACUGCGGUGAUUACUGAUGCAAUUAAGGAUGGAGUUGGCCGACCGCGUCCUGAUUUCUUCUGGCGCUGUUUCCCAGAUGGAAAGGAUCUUUAUGACAAUGUCACUACUGGCGUUCUGUGCCAUGGGGAGAAGAGUGUCAUCAAGGAAGGUCACAAGAGCUUCCCAAGUGGACAUGCAUCAUGGUCUUUCGCCGGCCUGGGCUUCCUCACGUGGUACUUAACUGGGAAAAUCGCGGUUUUUGACCGUAAAGGCCAUAUCGCAAAGCUGUGCAUCAUUGUUCUGCCUCUGCUUACAGCUGCGCUCGUUGCCGUUUCUCGUGUGGACGACUACUGGCAUCACUGGCAAGAUGUGUUUGCAGGAGCUAUCAUAGGUCUCACAGUGGCCUCAUUCUGUUACCUGCAAUUUUUCCCAUAUCCUUUCGACGCAGACGGAUUGUGGCCUUACGCAUACAACACCCUCCAGCUAGCCGAGGCGGGCAUUGCAGCAAACUCCUUCAGCGUGCGGCCCACCGAGGAGAUGGUAGAAGAAGGGCAAGGUGAGGGUGGGAUCGCCCUGAGAGACGCCGUGUGGCCCAUGGAGGAGACGGUAGAAGAAGGGCAAGGUCAGGGCAGGAUCGCCCUGAGAGACGCCCUGAGAUGUGAAGAAGACCAGGACUGGAAAGAUCCGACGACACCCUAA
rnacentral:rRNA from 1 species